AUGCCCAAGUCAGCUGACUCAGUGCCACAGGUCUUGCAUUGCUAUGUAGAGGUACCCUAUGAUGUAGAGAUGGCAUUUUCCCAGCUGCUAAAAUGGCGCCCAAGAGAAGCUUGCUCCUUCUAUUCAAUAGGCGUGGGUGACUGCGCAAGAUGGAACUGUAGCCAGGGUUAUGCACACGCUCCUGCUAGUGGUCAGUCACUUUUGAUGGGUGAUUUCUUGGACCUGCAGGUAGUGAUAAUAGAGACCAGGUCACUGGGGCUAAAGAAAAGGAGGAGUAUGGCUGUGGUGUGGGCGGGUAUUUUGUUUGUGAAGGGAGAAGGAAGUUGUAGAUCUGAGCUACAAAGGGAGGUGUGACAUACAUACUGCAAUGCCUUUGUUUUCCGUGUACUGCAUCUUUAAAUCUGCAAGGACACUGCUCUCUGCAUUGUCAGCUGGCCACUUGGGAGGCUAUGUGGCUGCAGCCUGCUGCAGAGAGGAGAUAGAUACCUUGCUGGCGUGCUCUCUCUCUCUUUCUCUCUCAUGGAGACUCUCUGCUUUUGGUUGUGCUUGUUGUUCUCCUUAAUCUGAAAUAAGUCAGCCAGAGAGACCUUGUGGUAAGAGCUGUGCUGCUCCUGUGCAGGCCGGGCACCUCCCCAGCAGGGAAUGACACCAGCUGCAACUGUACCUGAAACAUGUCUGAAGCUUGAGCUGUUCCCAAACACGCUCAGGCCCUGGUUGGCUCAUCCCUGAGAGACAGCAGGAGGUUGCUAUAGAAUGUCAUGGAUCCACAGGCUUUGCCUGCCAGAUUCCAACAGCUCCUACUCUUCCUUCAGGUAGUCGACACGCCCUCACUGUCUCCAGGACUGAGCCUCUGGGCUUCCGCACUCCUGCCUCACACCCUGAGCUCGGCCCAGCGAAGCCAACGGAGACAGACUCCUGGUUGGAGGUUUUGGCCAUUCUUCAGGGACACAGGCACCUCAGUAGGUAUUUGCAGGGACACCUGGCAGCCUUUCCAAACCAGAGCAGGGUUUAUUAGUCAGCCGGGACACAGCACUGGAAUUCCUUAGGACACAUGGAGUAAUAAAGGGUAAAGCAUAGUCCA
rnacentral:lncRNA from 1 species